rnacentral:misc_RNA from 1 species
CGAGAUUGAGAGUGACACAAAGAUUCAGAUUCUCUCAACGGUAACUAAUUUGAAUCCCUGAUCUACUGGUAAUUUAUGAUAUUUUACAGAGUUGAGGGAGGGCAGUAAACGUUAACAUGUAACUUUCUUAGUUGACUAGUAACAGUACUUCCGGAUUCUCAUCCUGGAUUCCCACUAGAAAGUUGGAAGCCAAACUCCCCAAAAGCAUGCAAUAAAGGGACAAGCUAUAGGCCUCCACCUCCUACCCUUCCUCCUCCUACUUCUCUCUCACCAUGGGGACUCUAGAGGCACAAACAACAUACCCCUCCACC